AGAGUUUGAUCCUGGCUCAGGACGAACGCUGGCGGCGUGCUUAACACAUGCAAGUCGAACGUGAUUUUUGUGGAAAUUCUUUCGGGAAUGGAAAUGAAAUGAAAGUGGCGAACGGGUGAGUAACACGUGAGCAACCUACCUUACACAGGGGGAUAGCCGUUGGAAACGACGAUUAAUACCGCAUGAGACCACAGAAUCGCAUGAUAUAGGGGUCAAAGAUUUAUCGGUGUAAGAUGGGCUCGCGUCUGAUUAGCUAGUUGGAAGGGUAAAGGCCUACCAAGGCGACGAUCAGUAGCCGGUCUGAGAGGAUGAACGGCCACAUUGGGACUGAGACACGGCCCAAACUCCUACGGGAGGCAGCAGUGGGGAAUAUUGCACAAUGGGGGAAACCCUGAUGCAGCGACGCCGCGUGAGCGAAGAAGGUUUUCGAAUCGUAAAGCUCUGUCCUAUGAGAAGAUAAUGACGGUAUCAUAGGAGGAAGCCCCGGCUAAAUACGUGCCAGCAGCCGCGGUAAUACGUAUGGGGCGAGCGUUGUCCGGAAUUAUUGGGCGUAAAGGGUACGUAGGCGGCCUUUUAAGUCAGGUGUGAAAGCGUGAGGCUUAACCUCAUUAAGCACUUGAAACUGGAAGGCUUGAGUGAAGGAGAGGAAAGUGGAAUUCCUAGUGUAGCGGUGAAAUGCGUAGAUAUUAGGAGGAAUACCGGUGGCGAAGGCGACUUUCUGGACUUUUACUGACGCUCAGGUACGAAAGCGUGGGGAGCAAACAGGAUUAGAUACCCUGGUAGUCCACGCCGUAAAC
rnacentral:rRNA from 1 species